UGGAGAGUUUGAUCCUGGCUCAGAUUGAACGCUGGCGGCAGGCCUAACACAUGCAAGUCGAGCGGAUGAGAAGAGCUUGCUCUUCGAUUCAGCGGCGGACGGGUGAGUAAUGCCUAGGAAUCUGCCUGGUAGUGGGGGACAACGUUUCGAAAGGAACGCUAAUACCGCAUACGUCCUACGGGAGAAAGCAGGGGACCUUCGGGCCUUGCGCUAUCAGAUGAGCCUAGGUCGGAUUAGCUAGUUGGUGAGGUAAUGGCUCACCAAGGCGACGAUCCGUAACUGGUCUGAGAGGAUGAUCAGUCACACUGGAACUGAGACACGGUCCAGACUCCUACGGGAGGCAGCAGUGGGGAAUAUUGGACAAUGGGCGAAAGCCUGAUCCAGCCAUGCCGCGUGUGUGAAGAAGGUCUUCGGAUUGUAAAGCACUUUAAGUUGGGAGGAAGGGCAGUAAGCGAAUACCUUGCUGUUUUGACGUUACCGACAGAAUAAGCACCGGCUAACUCUGUGCCAGCAGCCGCGGUA
rnacentral:rRNA from 2 species